rnacentral:rRNA from 1 species
AUGCAUAGAUGUAUCAUUACUUACAGUGAGCAUCCAUGUUGCGUUUUCCACUUCGUAAGGGUUGGACUUCACAUAGCGGUGGUUAAAGGUGCAGCCUUCGUGCAAAUCCACCUUGUGGUCAUUGAUGAGAUGAGACACGAGCAUCGGAACCUGAAUCGAUUCGGCCACCUUCUCGAGAGCCAAGCAUCUGAUAUUUCCCAGCUCCUGGCGGCAAGUGGGGCAAUGGUUGUCUACCCUAUGCUUACAGCUGGAGCAAAUUGUGUGGCCAUUUGGGCACUGCAGGAAGAAUAUGAAUCAUCAAUAGAUUAUCAUAAAAUCAUAAUGGACAAAACUUGUUCUACUAACUACCAUAGUUCUCAUCCAAUUAGCUUGAUAUUAUUUUGA